rnacentral:rRNA from 1 species
ACUCCUACGGGAGGCAGCAGUAGGGAAUCUUCCACAAUGGACGAAAGUCUGAUGGAGCAACGCCGCGUGAGUGAAGAAGGGUUUCGGCUCGUAAAACUCUGUUGUUAAAGAAGAACAUAUCUGAGAGUAACUGUUCAGGUAUUGACGGUAUUAACCAGAAAGCCACGGCUAACUACGUGCCAGCAGCCGCGGUAAUACGUAGGUGGCAAGCGUUGUCCGGAUUUAUUGGGCGUAAAGCGAGCGCAGGUCGGUUUUUAAGUCUUGAUGUGAAAGCCUUCGGCUCAACCGAAGAAGUGCAUCGGAAACUGGGAAACUUGAGUGCAGAAGAGGACAGUGGAACUCCAUGUGUAGCGGUGAAAUGCGUAGAUAUAUGGAAGAACACCAGUGGCGAAGGCGGCUGUCUGGUCUGUAACUGACGCUGAGGCUCGAAAGUAUGGGUAGCAAACAGGAUUAGAUACCCCUGGUAGCGACUGA